rnacentral:rRNA from 1 species
GACGAACGCUGGCGGCGUGCUUAACACAUGCAAGUCGAACGGUAAGGCCCUUCGGGGUACACGAGUGGCGAACGGGUGAGUAACACGUGGGUGAUCUGCCCUGCACUUCGGGAUAAGCCUGGGAAACUGGGUCUAAUACCGGAUAGGACCCUGGGAUGCAUGUCCUGGGGUGGAAAGCUUUUGCGGUGUGGGAUGGGGCCGUGGCCUAUCAGCUUGUGGGUGUGGUGAUGGCCUACCAAGGCGACGACGGGUAGCCGGCCUGAGAGGGUGACCGGCCACACUGGGACUGAGAUACGGCCCAGACUCCUACGGGAGGCAGCAGUGGGGAAUAUUGCACAAUGGGCGCAAGCCUGAUGCAGCGACGCCGCGUGAGGGAUGACGGCCUUCGGGUUGUAAACCUCUUUCAGCACCGACGAAGCGCAAGUGACGGUAGGUGCAGAAGAAGGACCGGCCAACUACGUGCCAGCCGCCGCUGUAA